UCAUGGCAUGCUUUUAUUACUUUCUCCAUUUUUUCACUCAGAGGUUAUUAGAUUUACUGCAGCUUUGAAAGAUACAAGGAAUUAGUAUCUGUCGGGUAUGGUGCCCCUAAUGACUUUCUUAGGUUGCUCAAGUACAAACAUCCCUCACUGAUAUUUAUCUAGUGAACACAAUAUUUUACCUAUUCAUUUGUCUUAGGAAUGAAGAACAUCAUGUUCCCCUGACAGUGAAUGCAAGAUUUCAAUGAAUGAUAUUAGAAACUUGAUAGACUGGAAACAUGCAGUGUGGAGGUGGAGAAAAAGACAAGAAUAAGAAAUCAAAUACCCUUGAGAGGUGGGAGUGAGAGGCCAUGUGAGAGCAUAUGGAUGAAAGCUUAUGGUACACUUCAGUGAGCAAGUUGAAUCCAACUCUUUAACGUAUUCAUACAUAGAUGGAUCAUGUUUCUGAGAUCACCUUUUGAAGAACUCUUCAGUAUAAAAAUGCAGCAAAGUUCUUUGGGAAUUUUUCUAAGUGUCUGGAACACUGGAGACAUUUACUGAGAGACACUUUUGAGCAAAUAGUACAAAAGAGACUUUCUCAAGAGGUGAUAUUUGAUGACUGCAGCAGGUGCUUCAAAUGCAUCAUGUCUCGAAUUGGAGUUCAGAUGAGAAAUCAAGUUAUUGCUGCAUAAAGCUUUUUCACACUUUAGCUGAGCCAUAAUGACUGUUUGUGGCCACGUCUUUAGUCAUAGAAAAUUACGAUGCAAGGUUGAACAACAUCCUCGUCUAGAUGGUGGAUGAAGAAGAUGUUCAGCUGUCGAGUAUGAUGUUUUGUGUGUGCAGCCAGGCAGACAACUGAAGAGGCUGAAGAGUUCUUAAAUCCAUGCUUGACUUAACUCAGACUGCAUCUUUCUUUACAGCUGGUCUAGACUGAAGGCUGCCCAUCACUCAGUUAAUGUGCAGUAACCUCUUCCUUCAAAUGGACAGUGUGUGAAUUGAGAGAACUGAUCCUACCACCUAAACCCACAGCAUAAAUCCUGCGUAGUCACUUCCUUUCCAAGUUAGAAUUAGAAAUAAAGAAAGAAAUAUAUUUUUGAGUCCUCUGCUGCAAAGAUGGUGAUCCACAUAUAUGGAUUCAGAUGCUCUAUUCUUGCAGAACCUGGACCCUGGCAGUGGGUGUGACCUUGCUGAAUAUCUCCCUUUAUUGACAGCCUUAGGAAAACAGAUUUCUGUUCAGCAAAUCUGCAGCAGGUUUUGGGAAAUGACCUGGCAAAAGAUUUACAGAUAAAUCUGAAGAACUCACUAUGGGUUAAGAUGUAAAUUUAAGUAAUCUUCCUUUUUCCCUCUAUUAAUAUUUUUCAUGCUAGUGGACUCACAGUUAAAUUUUCCUGCUGAAAUGACUUCAGGGCAUUAGCUUUGCCUGUUUAAAUACUUUU